rnacentral:misc_RNA from 1 species
AAAAUAAUGUUUUAAUCAUGUAUUCUAAUUAUACAGCUGCAAUACAAUCAUCUACAUGAUGAUCAGAGGUGCCAUAAACAGAACUCAAAGUUGAGUAAACUCCUGAAUUCUUACCAGAAACUACCAAGAAUACCAGUACAGUUGUCACUGUCAUAACCCCUGCAGACAUGCCAUAAAAGCAAACAACCACAAACGCUACUAAGACUCGCACUCCACACAAUGUAAUGCCAACUUAUCACCGUCUUGAAGAUUAUACAUAACAAAAAAUCACAUAAUCAAUGCUGAAGAGCUGUCCCUUUCCUAUUUGCUGUGCAUCAAUUAUUGGACAGUCA